rnacentral:rRNA from 1 species
AUUGAACGCUGGCGGCAGGCUUAACACAUGCAAGUCGAGCGAGCGGCGGACGGGUGAGUAAUGUCUGGGAAACUGCCUGAUGGAGGGGGAUAACUACUGGAAACGGUAGCUAAUACCGCAUACCAUCAGAUGUUCCCAGCUGGGCUUAGCUAGUAGGUGGGGUAAUGGCUCACCUAGGCGACGAUCCCUAGCUGGUAUGAGAGGAUGACCAGCAACACUGGAAAUGAGACACGGUCAAGACGCCGAAGGGAGGCAACAGUGGGGAAUAUUGCACAAUGGGCGCAAGCCUGAUGCAGCCAUGCCGCGUGUGUGAAGAAGGCCUUCGGGUUGUAAAGCACUUUCAGCGAGGAGGCGUUACUCGCAGAAGAAGCACCGGCUAACUCCGUGCCAGCAGCCGCGGUAAUUC